AAAAAAACAGACAUUCUACAUGAUUUCUCCCCGAACUUUGCAGGUAAUUUACUUCUUUUUUUUAUGUUGUGGGCUGCAGUUUUUGGCUGAGGCCAGUAGCUUGAUUAGUUGAGAAAUAUGUGCAUUCUGCUUUCAUUACUAGGGUGAGACAUUUAGUUUGAAGUAGGUGAUGGUAGUUCAUUCUGAAUAUCUCUAAGGUAGACAUAAUUAAAUUAUCAAUUUUUGUAAAAACCACUAUACGAUCACAUCUGGGAAAUAUACCUCAGAACUAGAGGGAAUACCUGUCGGAGUUUUGUUACCUCAAAGAAACAGGCAUUCUUGAUUGUCAAGUGUGAUCUCACAUCUGGGAGACAGCUUGUAUACAGGUACAAUAUAGUUCAAAUACACAUGUAAAGUUACAUGCCAGGCAUUCCUGCAUAGUUCUAAAAAGUCUGGAACCCACAUUUCAAAUACAUUUUUUAUCAAUUUUAACAGAUUUUUUACAAACUGUGCAACAUUGAAAAUGUCAUACAUCUCUUUAUAUAUAAUUUACUACAUUUAAUGUGACUGACGACAGUGAUGAACAGACAACAUUUCAUAUGCAAAUAUAGUCACAGAUUUCACAUACUGCAGUCCCCUAGAGCAGUGGUUUUUGAACCUCUCCGUGACCUCUAGAAUCUCGCAAUUAUAUUGUGGCCCUGAACUAGGUCACCUGAAUCAAGAGGUCAAGGGUUAGAUAUUUAGCAGACAAGUUGAUUCAGGUGUGCUAAAUCUGCAGAAGCUGGGCGUCCCAUGGAGAGGUUUGAGACAAUUAAUAUUAGAAAAUUAAAAAGUUGUGAAUAAUGCUUUAAUAUGGUUGGUUUUGAAUGGUAAAACGAGCAUACCAUGUUCACAAACAUUUAAGAGAGUAAUUCCUGAAAUGUUCAAUGUUCCCAUGUCCACAUUCUCCAGACCACCACAUCACUGAUCUGUUGGACAGCCAAGGCAGUGGGUGGCUCUGAUGGGAUGACCGAUGUGUCCGGAGGACAGAUGUGGCCACUGUGCUGAGGACCAGAGCUCACACUGCCUACAUCCUCUUCUAUGUGUGCAGUGGACCAGGUGAGGGAGACCAAGCAGAAUUAGAAGAGCUUCCAGAAGAAUAUGUCUGCCCAAGACCACCAAGGUAAUCAUUGGGAAACUCUUUAGAGCACGAGGACUGAGGGAAGACACUGGUUUUGACUGGGGGGAGGCUACCUUAGCAUGGGACAGCGACAAUUCAUGUCCACUAAAAUUGGUUGUUAAUCUUCUUCAAAUAUAAAUGCAUAUGUAAUGUCUUAAAGGGGAUCAAAAGCUGCAUGAUCUUGCAUGAAAAGUGGGCAUUUGAGGGAACUCCUGGGCAGGGACACAAACUGUAAAGGCAAGAAACAGAAGUGAGACUGGUGUGGGGUCUUCUCUUUCCUUCCUGGAAUCAUUGGGAUCUUCAGACGUCCGUUGCCCAACAUCAGAAACACUUGUUUUAUGAACUCUGCUCUGCAGCGCCUGUUGGAACUGCCUGCAUUCUGCAGAGACAUCCUGAGACAGCAGGACAUCUGGAGUUCCUACCCCUCUUCUAAACUGCUCCAGUACACUACAGAACAAAGUCCCUCCUGAAAUAUCACUAGUAGAAACCUAAACCCUUUUACGUUCUAUGCGUCCUAUAGAACCUACAAUGAGGGGUAAAGUAUUUGAUCCCCUGUUAAUUUUGUACAUUUGCCUACUGACAAUGAAAUGAUCACUCUAUAAUUUUAAUG